UGUAAUUUUAGGUUGAUUAUUAUAAUCGUGGUGUAAAUAUUUAUCGAAAUGAUCAGAUUAUUGCAAAAGCUCCUAAAUCAAAAGAAACAAAGCUCGCCACCGUUCAACUCAUGAGGACUCUUGUUGCCAUUAUAAAGUGCACAAAGCAACUGCCAGAUGAAGUGAUGAUGACCAUGAAAAUCCUGUAUUAUGAUGACGGUAAGCUGU